AGUUCGAACGAUAAGUCCACCUUCGGGUGGUGGACAGUGGCAGACGGGUGAGUAACGCGUGGGAACGUGCCUUUCGGUUCGGAAUAACCCAGGGAAACUUGGGCUAAUACCGGAUACGCCCUUCGGGGGAAAGAUUCAUUGCCGAAAGAUCGGCCCGCGUCGGAUUAGCUAGUUGGUGGGGUAAUGGCUCACCAAGGCGACGAUCCGUAGCUGGUCUGAGAGGAUGACCAGCCACACUGGGACUGAGACACGGCCCAGACUCCUACGGGAGGCAGCAGUGGGGAAUAUUGGACAAUGGGCGCAAGCCUGAUCCAGCCAUGCCGCGUGGGUGAAGAAGGCCUUAGGGUUGUAAACCCCUUUCAGCGGGGAAGAUAAUGACGGUACCCGCAGAAGAAGUCCCGGCUAACUCCGUGCCAGC
rnacentral:rRNA from 1 species